GGUAAUUUAGUCUUAUACUCACUAUUAAUGGAUCAUAAAUCUAUUCAUCAAUAUUACUAAUCAAGAAGAGUUUAUUUUAUCUCCCCGUCACCCCAACCAAACAAUUUUAAGUAAAACCCAACUCUACCCUAAAUAGAUUUAUUACCCAUAAUUGUUAAACUCUAUAGGGUCUUCUCGUCCUCCAAUCUUAUUUAAGCCUUUUGACUAAAAAGUUAAAUUAUACCACAAUCUCCGUGAGACAGUAAACACCUCGUCCAACCAUUCAUACCAGCCCCUAAUUAAGAGACUAAUGAUUAUGCUACCUUUGCACGGUCAAAAUACCGCGGCCCUUCAAUUUUCAGCGGGCAGGCUAGACCUCCUACAUUUACAAGAAGCGAUGUUUUUGAUAAACAGGCGAGCAUCCAUUUGCCGAAUUCCUUACAAAGACCUUUCUAUAUUAUUUAACUAUUACAUUUCACUAUAUUAAUUUCACCAUUAUUACCCAUUGUCUUCUAUUACCAAUGACACUUUGAUACAUAAACUAAACCCAUUAAAAUUAAACCACCCCUAAGUAAACUAUAACGUUAUUAUUUGAUGACUGAUUUCAAGUCUACCCCCUUAAGUAACUGAGCCUGUUAUAGUUGUGUCCUUAAGCUUAUCCCUCAAGACAUUAGCAAUUAACCCCUAAAUCAAUUAUCACUAAUCAAAAUAACACUAUUGCCUAAAUUAAAUUCAUUUCUCAAAGAACUAGAAACCUAUAAAUUCGCCUAACAUUUCAUUUCUAAAGAAGUAUUUUUAAGAAAUUUGCCAUUUUAACUAAAUUACCUCUUUAGCCCACUUAAAAUCGAGAAAACAAAAUCUUUCGCUCCAUUUAAUAAACCCUGAUACACAAGGUACAACACUAAAUCUACUUUUCAUUAAAUUACUUUUCACUUAUUUCACCCUUCCUUCUCAGUACUACCCUUAUUACUUAUUUUAUGAUUUCAUUACCCAAUACUCCCACUAAUCUCUUAAUAUUGAUUUACCCAGUCAAUUUAAAUUCACUAACCCUAUUAAUUAUGUUACCUCUCAAAAUAAAUUGAAUUGCACAAUAACUUCUCAAUGUAAAUGAAAUGCUUUACUCCUCAAGCUCUA
rnacentral:rRNA from 1 species